AAUCAACGCUGGCGGCGUGCCUAACACAUGCAAGUCGAACGCGAAAGUUCCUUCGGGGAUGAGUAGAGUGGCGUCCGGGUGAGUAACGCGUGGGUAAUCUACCUUCGGGUGGGGAAUAACCCAGGGAAACUUGGGCUAAUACCGCAUAAUGCAGCGGACCGACAUCGAGACAGUUGUUAAAGCAGCAAUGCGCCUGAAGAGGAGCCUGCGUCUGAUUCGCUUGUUGGUGGGGUAAUGGCCUACCAAGGCUUCGACGGGUAGCCGGCCUGAGAGGGCGUCCGGCCACACUGGGACUGAGACACGGCCCAGACUCCUACGGGAGGCAGCAGUGGGGAAUAUUGCGCAAUGGGCGGAAGCCUGACGCAGCGACGCCGCGUGGGGGAUGACGGCCUUCGGGUUGUAAACCUCUUUCGACCCCGACGAAGGGUUUCUGACGGUAGGGGUGGAAGAAGCACCGGCUAACUACGUGCCAGCAGCCGCUGUAACAC
rnacentral:rRNA from 1 species